AGCAGCCGCGGUAAUUCCAGCUCCAAUAGCGUAUAUUAAAGUUGUUGCAGUUAAAAAGCUCGUAGUUGAAUUUUAGGCCUGGCCGGGCGGUCCGUCUUUGGCGAGUACUGUCCUGUGUCGGGUCUUCCUUCUGGUGAACCAGUAUGUCCUUUAUUGGGUGUGUUGGGGAGCCAGGACCAUUACCUUGAAAAAAUUAGAGUGUUUAAAGCGGGCAUUUGCUUGAAUAGAUUAGCAUGGAAUAAUAGAAUAGGACGUUGUGGUUCUAUUUUGUUGGUUUCUAGGACCACCGUAAUGAUUAAUAGGGAUAGUUGGGGGCAUUAGUAUUCAAUUGUCAGAGGUGAAAUUCUUGGAUUUAUUGAAGACUAACUACUGCGAAAGCAUUUGCCAAGGAUGUUUUCAUUAAUCAAGAACGAAAGUUAGGGGAUCGAAGACGAUCAGAUACCGUCGUAG
rnacentral:rRNA from 1 species